rnacentral:misc_RNA from 1 species
CCAUCCUCCUCAUCCUCACAGAUUGUACACUUAUCACCUGAAAGCAGAAAGUCCUUGGCUACUUGCAUGUCUUCUUUGAACUCUGGACGCCGGGCCUCUGGAUGCUCAAAGUGGCAGCUCGAAGAUUUCCUCUUCCCUUGCUGCGAUGUGUUUCCUGCAGAUCCAUGCAAUGUGGCCGUCAUCUCUGUAUCGAACACGCCACAGGCCAAAUCUCUGUGCUAUGUCCAUCCCCGUCAGAACCCCUUGCCCUUUCAAGAAAUCCACAAGCCAUUGCCUGGCUGCUGUCAUAUCCUCUCC